AUUGAACGCUGGCGGCAUGCCUUACACAUGCAAGUCGAACGGUAACGGGCCUUCGGGUGCCGACGAGUGGCGAACGGGUGAGUAAUGUAUCGGAACGUACCUUUCAGUGGGGGAUAACGUAGCGAAAGUUACGCUAAUACCGCAUAUUCUGUGAGCAGGAAAGCAGGGGAUCGCAAGACCUUGCGCUGAUUGAGCGGCCGAUAUCAGAUUAGCUAGUUGGUGAGGUAAAGGCUCACCAAGGCGACGAUCUGUAGCGGGUCUGAGAGGAUGAUCCGCCACACUGGGACUGAGACACGGCCCAGACUCCUACGGGAGGCAGCAGUGGGGAAUUUUGGACAAUGGGGGCAACCCUGAUCCAGCAAUGCCGCGUGAGUGAAGAAGGCCUUCGGGUUGUAAAGCUCUUUUGUUUGGGAAGAAAUCCUAAGGAUAAUACCCUUGGGGAUGACGGUACAAAGAAUAAGACACCGGCUAACUACGUGCCAGCAGCCGCGGUAAACUGUAAGUCGUACG
rnacentral:rRNA from 1 species